UAGGGAAUCUUCCACAAUGGGCGAAAGCCUGAUGGAGCAACGCCGCGUGUGUGAUGAAGGGCUUCGGCUCGUAAACACUGUUGUAAGAGAAGAAUGACAUUGAGAGUAACUGUUCAAUGUGUGACGGUAUCUUACCAGAAAGGAACGGCUAAAUACGUGCC
rnacentral:rRNA from 1 species